rnacentral:rRNA from 1 species
CCUACGGGAGGCAGCAGUGAGGAAUAGUGGUCAAUGGACGAGAGUCUGAACCAGCCAAGUAGCGUGAAGGAUGACGGCCCUAGGGGUUGUAAACUUCUGUUAUAGGGGAAUAAAAUGUUCCACGUGUGGGAUUUUGUAUGUACCAUAUGAAUAAGGAUCGGCUAACUCCGUGCCAGCAGCCGCGGUAAUACGGAGGAUCCGAGCGUUAUGCGGAUGGAGUGGGGUUAAAGGGAGCGUAGGUGGAUUGUUAAGUCAGUUGUGAAAGUGUGCGGCUCAACCGUAAAAUUGCAGUUGAAACUGGCAGUCUUGAGUACAGUAGAGGUGGGCGGAAUUCGUGGUGUAGCGGUUAACUGCUUAGAUAUCAC